CCCGAAUUCUCUCUCUCCCUGCUUCUGUCUCCUUUUUUCCCCUGUCCCUCCAAUCUGCCCUAUCUCCCCCAGCAUCUAGACCUCCACCUGUGUUUACCCCCCAUAUUUUGGGGUUCCCAGCUCUAUGCUUACUUGUCGCUCUCUCUCUCCAUCUGUCUCUCUUCACUCUCUGUCCACCUCUCUCUCUGCUGUUCCUCCUCCUUUGUCUGUCUCCCUCUCUCUCCCACUUUUCUUCUCUCUCUGACCCUCCACCCUUCCCGUCACCUUCCCCUGGUGCCCCACCUCUGUAUCUUGUCCCCUCUGCCCCCGUCCCUCUAUUUCUGUCCAUUUCUCUCCCCAUCUGUCUCUCAACCACUGUCUCUCUCCUCCAUUACUCUCAGUCUCUCCCUGUCUCUGGCUCUGUUUUCGGUUCAUCUCUUUGCCCGGCUGUCCCUCCAUAUCUCUGUGUCUCUAACCCCCGCCCACCCCCUACCCCGGCCCAUUCCCUGUCUCUUCACCUCUCUUUCCCUUCCCCUAUCUCUCUCCAUUUCUAUCUCUGAUUUUCUCCAUCCCUCUGUCUCUCCCAGGCAGCUUCUCCCCUCUCCUCCGUCUCCCUGUCUCUCUGCUCCCCCUGGUCUCUCCUGUCUCUGCCCGCCUGCGCGGUCCCCCGUCUCCCUGUCCGGCCCCAGCCCCGGUUCUGGCGGUCCCCGUCUCCCGUGCCGUCUGUCUCCUUCCCCCACUCGUGUCAGGCUCCGUCUCCCUUUGUGUCGCCCCGGCUCUGCCCCUCCUGUGUGCCCCACUCGUCUGCCUCCAUGGUCCCUCCUGCAUCCUUCCGUCGCUCCCAGCAUCCUCCCACCGCGUCUCCGCGGCUCCGGCGCCCAGGCCCGCCCCCUGCCCCCGCUCCCCCUCCCCCUCCGAAAGGGUUAACUUUGGGGAAGGGCCCGGAGUCCCCGGAUGGUGAUGUCAGCGUGCCGGAGAGAAAGGACGAGGUGGCGGGGGGAGGCGGAGAGGAGGAGGAGGCGGAGGAGAGAGGGCGCGUGGGGGGGCGGGGGGGACCUCGGCCUGCAGCAUCCGCUGGCCCGCACCUCAGACCCCCCCGGCGGGGGGAGGCGCAGGAAGCGGGAGACCGGCCAGAAACGGGCUGGGGAGGGGGGGCCGCGCAGCCCCCCCGGGCCAUGCUGACUCCCGGGGCCUGACCCCCCCGGGCCAG
rnacentral:lncRNA from 1 species